UCACGUUUUCCACCUUUUCAGACAAAAAAAGGGCAGAAAUUCUCAAGUAGGGCGGAGAAAAUUUCCAUUUGUUCAACCUUCGUCCUCCGUCGAUUCGGCUGGGAGCUAUAACCGGUGAGUGACGAUUUAUCAACUCUAACUGUUUCAUCCGGCAUUAGUUCCGUCUUUUAUUUCAAAAGUUACUGUAAAAUCUGUACGUGUUCGUCUAGGGUUUUGUUACUCAUCGAUGGAUAUCAUCAGUCCAUGAUCUUUGCCGAAAACGUAUAGUUCGAGUACCUUCCAUGUGUUUAAGUUGACACACACACUCGCAUAUUUUUUUCCUAGGGUUUCUCCGAUUCUUAUAUCUUCUCGUUUUCUGUAAGUAGGAUCGUGAUUUUUCGAUUUCUGGUAUAGGUUAUUUCAUUCGAUCGCUUUAUUUUAAUAUUUUUAAAUGUUAUCUUCACUCAUUUUUGAUUUCGGACAUAUGACGAGGAUGGUUGACACACUAUUGUUCUGCAUAAUUAUAUAAUAUUAUAUUAUGGAUCAAGUAUUUUCUGAUCAGCUAGUUGUUUUAAUCACAGUGAUCUUUUGAUUUUGUUUCUAUAUACCAUAUCACAUUUUAGAUGUGAUCAACUUUAUUAAGACGUCAUUAUUAGCUCAGAGUUAUUAUGGUUUUUCGCAUUUACUUUUCAAGGUUGUGUGAUUUGGAUGUGAUCAAACCUUAUUAAGACAAUAUGGAUUUUUGCAUUUACUUUUUAACUUUUUAAGGUUGUGGGAUUUGAAUGUGAUCAACCUUAUUGAGACGUAUUUAUUAGUUGCGAGUUAAUGUGGUUUUUCGCAUUUACUUUAUAACCUUUUAGGGUUAUGUGAUUUGAAUGUGAUCAACCUUAUUAAGAUGUAAUUAUUGACUGCGAGUUAAUAUGGGUUUUCACAUUUACUUUUUAACCUUUUAAGGUUGUGUGAUAUGAAUGCGAUCAACCUUAUUAAGUUGUAUUUUUAUAUUGCUUGUUGCAAAUAUUAAAUAUUUCUCAUUAAUAAUAAUGAAGAAUAAUACCCUGAAGAUUAACAAGUGGACAUAAAAUAAAAUGUGGUGGGGUGAUGGUGUGGUGGUUUCUCACUUCAUUGAUCUACUCCUUUUUUUUGCAUUCUCAGUGGUCUUAAGUAAUUAAGAGCUAAAUCUCAAGAAGUUUGUCUUCCAAACCUGCAUAGUAGUAGUUCUCUCCAUUUGCGAACCACAAUCUUUCUUAAAGAUUUCAAUUCUAAAAGAGAGACUGGAGUCUAAUAAUUUUCAGAAAUAGUAUUUCUGGAGGCUUGAGAGUGUGCUGAUGCAGUCUUCUGUUCCUUUUGGACCAGGCAUGCCAUAUAAGACCUCCAACUGCAUUCCAAUAGAGACCCUACGAUUGAUGUGUCAGUUUUUGGCAAACUUCAAUUAUAUCCCUUAUUCUGAUAUUAGGAUAAUGAGAGUUGGAACUGGAGGGUUUGACAUUUUUUAUAAGGCCUGAUUAAGGAAUUCAGUGAUGCCCAGAAGGAAGUGUCUGAUACUCUGGUGUAGUUCAAUUAAAAAAUAGACGACUGAUGGUUUCAUUUUUCUGUUCACAGAGGAAGCUAGUGGGCUGUAUUGGGGACCUCUCUAAUCAUCGAGCAUUUUUAAUGUCUUAAUCUGUCUAUUCUUAAUUCUUCAAAGAAUGAUUGAGAAUUUUGUAGGCAUACACGACCAUAUGCCUUUGGAAGGUGUGUCUUUAGGCCUCUUAGUUCUGAGUGUUUCUAUGAUUGUUUCUAGGUUUUGUUUCCCAUUUCGAAUUUUUGAGGUGAUAGAAUUUCCAACACUCUAGGAGUCCAAGCAUUCAGCCAUUGACUAAUGUAUUAAGACAUAAUUAUUAGCUAUGAGUAAUAUAUUUUUUCGUAUUUACUUUUUAAGUUUGUAUGAAUUGCUAAUUAAGAGAAUAGCAAAUGUGUCUUGAUAGUUGAUAAGAGUUUAAUUUUAAUGCAGUGCAUUUUUUCCCGAAAGACAAUGCUAUUGUUAUUAAUAUCUGUAAGUGUUUUUUUUGCAAACAAAGGAAUCCUUCUUAGACGUUUUAAACAUCAAAGGGAUAUUCAAAGUACAUCUGAUAUAUCAUCAGGUAAUUUUGACAUUCGUAGAUAAUAUAUUCAGUACAGAAUUCAUAUCUUCAUGCAAAUUUUUAGUGUCAUGAGAUCACUUGAAUUAUCCCUUUUAAUUAAUUAUUUUUUUAAAGCUGGUUAAUGUUUUCAUUUAAUGAAAAAUGAAGGGCAUUGUCCUUAAUAUACAAUGGAAAUAAGCAGAAAGUAUGAAUAUGAAUAUUGUCACACUUUCCACACAACCAUGUUGCUUAAAGAAAACUCUAGACUAUCUGCCUCCGGAGGUUAGUCUCUCAAAUCUGCAUUGUGCUAGUCUUCAAGGGAUAACAAUAACAUUUCUUGAAGUACUCAGCACAACAUUGUGUUAGUCCUUAAUUGUUAAUUAUUAUGUGUAGUAGUUAUGUAUGAUUAUUUUUUGGGGGGUUGCUUUAUUUAUAUAUUACCCUUUCAAAUUAAAAGUUUGAGAGUUUUUAAAUCUGCAUUGUGCUAGUCUUCAAGGGAUAACAAUAAUAUUU
rnacentral:lncRNA from 1 species